rnacentral:lncRNA from 1 species
AAACUAGCACUCCUGGAAUUGAAUGUGUUUAAAACAGCCUUCUAGUAUUUUCCAUCAGUUGGUAGUACAAUACAAAAUGUCUGAUUCAUUAUGAGUCAGUCUCUUCCAGUCAGACACCUAGAGGGGAAACAUCCUUGUCAGGUGUUGGCUAUAACAGGGGCUAUAACAGGGGUGAUACAGUUUCUGGUCAGGUGUUGGGCUAUAACAGGGGCUAUAACACGGGUGAUACAGUUUAUCUGGUCAGGUGCUGGGCUGUAACAGGGGCUAUAACACGGGUGAUACAGUAUAUCUGGUCAGGUGUUGGCUAUAACAGGGGUGAUACAGUUUAUCUGGUCAGGUGUUGGGCUAUAACAGGGGCUAUAACAGGGGUGAUACAGUUUAUCUGGUCAGGUGCUGGGCUAUAACAGGGGCUAUAACAGGGGUGAUACAGUUUCUGGUCAGGUGUUGGGCUAUAACGGGGGUUUUACAGUUUCUGGUCAGGUGCUGGGCUAUAACAGGGGCUAUAACAGGGGUGAGACAGUUUAUCUGGUCAGGUGUUGGCUAUAACAGGGGUGAUACAGUUUAUCUGGUCAGGUGUUGGGCUAUAACAGGGGCUAUAACAGGGGUGAUACAGU